AGUGAACGCUGGCGGCAGGCCUAACACAUGCAAGUCGAACGGCAGCACAGUGAUUGCUUGUGGUUACAGGGGGCGACGGGCGGACGAGGCAUAGGUACAUCGCUGUCUACGGUUUAGAAGGUGCGAAAGCGGGGACUAUUACGCCAUUAGCGCAUACGACGAACGGGGGGGAGCUUCGGACCUUCGGCCAUUGGGUGAGCCUAGGUCGGAUUAGCUAGUUGGCGGGGUAAAGGCCUACCAAGGCGACGAUCCGUAGCUGGUCUGAGAGGAUGAUCAGUCACACUGGAACUGAGACACGGUCCAGACUCCUACGGGAGGCAGCAGUGGGGAAUAUUGGACAAUGGGCGCAAGCCUGAUCCAGCCAUGCCGCGUGUGUGAAGAAGGCCUUCGGGUUGUAAAGCACUUUUGGUUGGAAAGAAAAGCAGUAAGUUAAUACCUUGCUGUUCUGACGGUACCAACAGAAUAAGCACCGGCUAACUUCGUG
rnacentral:rRNA from 1 species